rnacentral:lncRNA from 1 species
AGUCAAGUGAACGCUGUAAAGUUAAGCAGAUUUUUCACUUUUCAAAGGAAAGCAGAAUUAUAGCCCCUCCUCAUGCAGGAGUCCUGAUGACUUUGGAAACACGCACGCACGCACGCACGCACGCACGCACACACACACACACACACACACACACACACACGCGCGCGCACACACAUUGUGUGUCUCUGUGCCCUCAGACAGUUCUGGAGAACCUGGAUCUGUCUCUGUCGCUGCACAUCAGUGUCCAGACCUUGGGCUCUAAUGGGCUCCUUGCUGAGAAGGUGUAUGUCCUCUCCAAGGGCAUGAGUCCCCCUCCUGGAUCAGCGCCCCCCCCGCGCAUUCACCGACACCGUUGGACAGCACAGCCGUUUGUUGCCCUGUGCAGCUACAGCCCUCUGAAGGACAGCCCUGACGUCCGCCCCGGCCGAGAGCCGACUUUCCGUGAGGGCGACGCGGUUCGGGUGUUCGGCGCCCCCCGACGUGACGGCUUCUGCGAGGCGGAGGUGAGGGGGGGUUUCGGCGCACUUAAGGGCAAAAACACGCGCACACGCACAUCUUCGCCCGCAGAGGCAGACGGAGCGACGGGAAGGUCACACGUACACGCACGUACGCACGCGAUCUGUUCCGCAGCUCUUUCUCUCGCACGCUCGGCAGAUCGCGCGUCUGCAUGUUGAGCUGUUUUUGGAACUGACAAUAUACGGGAUUACUGAAGCAGCCUUCAUCAUCUAGAGGCCAGAAUCUAGGCUGGAUCUGCAUCUCGUCCCGGAGCCUCCGAGUCACUGCUGGGUUGAGGAGGAGGAGGAGGAGGAGGAAGAGAACUUCGUCUCCCCGUGAACAGGAGCAGAGCACUGUGGGAGGGAGGGGCGGGAGGCCUGUUCGCACGGCUUUAGCAUCUGCGCAGCCAUCGCUCUUGUAGCUGAUGUCAGUCACCGAGGAAACGGAGCAGUCUCUCCUCGCCGCGGUAGACGACGAUCGCAGUGCGGAGACUGAGCAUUUGUUGAUGCGUCCCGUGGCGACGUUUAGUAUUUACCGUCAUGGGCUGAAGGUGUUCGCUCGAACCUCCGUUGUCUCGGCUCCUGUUAAAACGCGCGUCCUGCAAUUUGCUUCACUCCGACCGCUUCCCUGGACUGCGUCUGCAGGGCGUGUGAGGCGUCCACCUUUUGGACUCGGUUUUCGGCACGGACCCGGUUUCUGCUCCGUAUGCCGAAACGAUAACGGCCGAAGGAGCCGCUGCACUCCGUGCAUUUUUGUGUGUCGCUCAGGUUCUGCGUGUGUCUGCGUGCGUGUGCGCGCACACGCAUAUGCGCACUACAGUGGAGUAAUCUUACAUUCCUUUUACUGUUUGAAAGUGGGCCACCACAAGAGCUCUGCGGUUAAAAGCUCAUCAGCCAUCAAGCAGCUCCGGUGUUCAUCGCUCGCUCGCGCAGAAGAAAUCCUCCCGAGGAGACGCGCGGCUCCGUGGACCCCUUUCGUAGAAUAAAGGGACACCGGCCGGGUUGUGUGUCA